AUUAUUUUCUCUCAUAUACUUGACAUGCCAAAUAAGUGAUCAAACAAUAUCAAAGCUAUUGAAAAAUCCAAAGAACAGAUUAAGCUGAAAGUUCACUUUCUCUAUUGCUAUUUGUUGAACCCUCUAAUUUUUUUCCAUGAUCUACUCAAUAAUAUCAGUAACGAUAAGCCAGACGUUUGGCUAGCUAGACCACAUAUCAAGUCAAUCCAUAAAACAAAUUUUCUCUUUUCAGAAGCUGACCGUCUGCGAUAACCAUGACUCGAUUACCAAUCUAGGAAUCCUCAUAUGGAGAACAAAUAUCAAAUUUUCUAUUUUCAGAAGACGAUCGGCAGCCAUGACUCAAUUACCAAUCUAGGAAUCCUCAGAUGGAGAAUGGAUCCCUGGUUCACAACCUAAAUAUCCUCAAUUAUAUAUGUAUAUAUGCAGAGGAACUCUCUAACCCUAGCUCGCUAGCCA
rnacentral:misc_RNA from 1 species